rnacentral:rRNA from 1 species
UUGUCGUCAGCUCGUGUCGUGAGAUGUUGGUUAAGUCCCGCAACGAGCGCAACCCCUAUUGUUAGUUGCCAUCAUUCAGUUGGGCGGCUCUAGCGAGACUGCCGGUAAUAAACCGGAGGAAGGUGGGGAUGACGUCAAAUCAUCAUGCCCCUUAUGACCUGGGCUACACACGUGCUACAAUGGUUGGUACAACGAGUUGCGAGUCGGUGACGGCGAGCUAAUCUCUUAAAGCCAAUCUCAGUUCGGAUUGUAGGCUGCAACUCGCCUACAUGAAGUCGGAAUCGCUAGUAAUCGCGGAUCAGCACGCCGCGGUCGAAUACGUUCCCGGGCCUU